UAAAUAAAUAAAAAUUUUCAAGUAUUAAUAUCAUACAUAGUAAAAUAAAAAUCCACAAGGGAACAUCAUCCUCAGGUAAGUUUAAUAUAACCCUUAGGCUUGCUAUCUCAAACAUCAUCACCUACUCGUGGGAAACUGCCCACACCACUAUUUAUAAAUCGGGGCUUCAAUUCCCUCUUUUUGCCUACUCGUGGGAUCUGCACACGCCAUCAUAUAUAAAUCGGAGUUUCAGGUUCCCCUUUGCCUACUUGUGAGAACUGCCCACGUCACCCAAUAUGAAUCGGGGCUUUAGGUCUCCCUUUUUACCUACUCAUGGGAACUGCCAACAUCACCCAAUAUGAAUUGGGGCUUCAGGUCCCCCUUUGCAAUCAAAUAUCGAAAAUCAUUGCAAUUUAAAGUAUUUGCAAAACAUAAUAGUUUGUAAACAAUAUAAUCAUAAAUCAAUGUUAUGCAUAUUUUAUCUCAAAGCAUGGUAUAUUUACCAAAUCAGCUUGCUAAGUAAAAUAAAUAAUUUAUCAUCAAGCUUUAUGAAUCGAUACAAAGACCAUUGGCCUAAACAUCACACAAACUUGCAAGGUACGAUUUUUGAAGUGAAAACCAGUUAAAGGUUUAUUUUUUCGUAUUUAAAAACAUAUAGAUAUAUAUAUAUAUAUAUAUUUAUAUAUAUAUUUUAAAGAAAAGCGUAUAUAAAACCCUUGUCACAAACCCAAACAACCUAAAACUUUCUAUCAACUCAUGCUCUCCACAAUUUCGUCAACUAUCAAAUGCAAUAUAUAUAAUAUAUUAUAGAGAAAUAAUUUUAAAAUCUAGCACCCACUCACCUCACAAUAGCGGAACGCUACUUCGCUAUUGGUUCUUGCAUAUAUUUGGUUUUUCUUUUUUUUUUCUUUAUUCUCCU
rnacentral:lncRNA from 1 species